AGCGAACGCUGGCGGCAGGCCUAACACAUGCAAAUCGAACGAAGUCUUCGGACUUAGUGGCGGACGGGUGAGUAACACGUGGGAACGUGCCCUUUGGUUCGGAACAACUCAGGGAAACUUGAGCUAAUACCGGAUGUGCCCUUCGGGGGAAAGAUUUAUCGCCAUUGGAGCGGCCCGCGUCUGAUUAGCUAGUUGGUGAGGUAAAGGCUCACCAAGGCGACGAUCAGUAGCUGGUCUGAGAGGAUGAUCAGCCACAUUGGGACUGAGACACGGCCCAAACUCCUACGGGAGGCAGCAGUGGGGAAUCUUGCGCAAUGGGCGAAAGCCUGACGCAGCCAUGCCGCGUGAAUGAUGAAGGUCUUAGGAUUGUAAAAUUCUUUCACCGGGGACGAUAAUGACGGUACCCGGAGAAGAAGCCCCGGCUAACUUCGUGCCAGCCGCCGCAGUAAAAC
rnacentral:rRNA from 1 species